rnacentral:lncRNA from 1 species
GGGGUGGUCUCUCCAUCCCUCAUUAUAGGUAGCUGAAUAUGGAUCAUACCUCCUCUGAUUUGGAAAGACGGCGUUAGCUUCCCCUUCCUGUAAUGUCAGACACAUAUCUGUGGUAUGUCCUUCUAAACAACAAAUGCCACAUAUUGAAGCUUUCACAGUACCUCCAGUCAUCAACUUACUUACCAUAGCCGUUAAAUUAGCUAGUUGAGCCUCCAUCAUGCUCGACUGGCCUUCAUCCAUUCGUUUACCC